GACGAACGCUGGCGGCGUGCUUAACACAUGCAAGUCGAACGGUAAGGCCCUUCGGGGUACACGAGUGGCGAACGGGUGAGUAACACGUGGGUGAUCUGCCCUGCACUUCGGGAUAAGCCUGGGAAACUGGGUCUAAUACCGGAUAGGACCACUGCCUGCAUGGGUGGUGGUGGAAGGCUUUUGCGGUGUGGGAUGGGCCCGCGGCCUAUCAGCUUGUUGGUGGGGUGAUGGCCUACCAAGGCGACGACGGGUAGCCGGCCUGAGAGGGUGACCGGCCACACUGGGACUGAGACACGGCCCAGACUCCUACGGGAGGCAGCAGUGGGGAAUAUUGCACAAUGGGCGCAAGCCUGAUGCAGCAACGCCGCGUGAGGGAUGACGGCCUUCGGGUUGUAAACCUCUUUUAGCAGGGAAGAAGCGAAAGUGACGGUACCUGCAGAAAAAGCACCGGCUAACUACGUGCCAGCCGCCGCCGUAA
rnacentral:rRNA from 1 species